rnacentral:rRNA from 1 species
GACGAACGCUGGCGGCGUGCCUAAUACAUGCAAGUCGAACGCAGUGGGGACGGGUGAGGAACACGUGGGUAACCUCGCAUCAGAGGGGAUAACACUUGGAAACAGGUGCUAAACCGCUACUGGUGGAUGGACCAGCGGUGCAUUGGGUUGAUGGUGAGGUAACGGCUCACCAAGGCCACGAUGAAUAGCCGGCCUGAGAGGGUGACCGGACAACCGGGAACUGAGACACGGCCCAGACUCCUACGGGAGGCAGCAGUGGGGAAUCUUCGGCAAUGGACGAAAGUCUGACCGAGCAACGCCGCGUGAGUGAAGAAGUGUUUCGGAUCGUAAAGCUCUGUUGUUAGGGAAGCGGUAUCUAACCAGAAAGCCACGGCUAACUACGUGCCAGCAGCCGCGGUAAUAC